CGCUGUUCCUUCCUAAACUCCUCCACCGGUGAGUGCAUCCAACUGGACCUCUCGGAGCUCCUUGACCAUGAGCUGCUCGCCGUCACCCCCGAGGGCCUCCUUGUCCUGCUCCACGACCAGAGCCAUGUCCGCCUGCUUAAUCCGCUCACGCGUCACCUCACAGAGCUACCGCCGCUCACCACUCUGCUGCCCUCUGUGGACCGUGUCAUGCCUUCCCGUUUCAGCAUAAACUAUUUCUCAGUGUCGGGCUGCGGCAUUGCUAGUGAUGAUUCAACAGUGGUGCUCUGCUUCAAUCAGCUCCGCAUGCUUGGCAUGGCCAAACCUGGCGAUGACCACUGG
rnacentral:rRNA from 1 species